rnacentral:rRNA from 1 species
UGGGGAAUAUUGGACAAUGGGGGGAACCCUGAUCCAGCCAUGCCGCGUGUGUGAAGAAGGCCUUAUGGUUGUAAAGCACUUUAAGCGAGGAGGAGGGUACUGGUAUUAAUACUACCAGGUACUGGACGUUACUCGCAGAAUAAGCACCGGCUAACUCUGUGCCAGCAGCCGCGGUAAUACAGAGGGUGCGAGCGUUAAUCGGAUUUACUGGGCGUAAAGCGUGCGUAGGCGGCUAAUUGAGUCGGAUGUGAAAUCCCCGAGCUUAACUUGGGAAUUGCAUUCGAUACUGGUUAGCUAGAGUGUGGGAGAGGAUGGUAGAAUUCCAGGUGUAGCGGUGAAAUGCGUAGAGAUCUGGAGGAAUACCGAUGGGGAAGGCAGCCAUCUGGCCUAACACUGACGCUGAGGUACGAAAGCAUGGGGAGCAAACAGG